CUCUCUCUCUUUGAUUAUAUAUAUAAUAUAUAUAAUAUUUAUUUUUUUUAUAUAAAUAUAUUAUUAUAUUAUAUUUUAUUUAUAACUAUAUAAUAAUUUAUUUUGGGAACAAAUAAAAAUAGUGAUUUCAUUCUAAUUAAUUUUUUUAUAUUUUUUUAUUUAUAAAUUCUACGCUGAUGAUAAUAAAAAAUAUUAUGCAUUUUUUUAAUAUUACAAUGAGUUUUUUUAUUUUAAAAUGGUUUACUUAUUGUAGUUAUUUAGUUUAGAUAUUUUCAGAAAAAAUAUAUUUUAAUUUUAUUUUUUAAUUUUUUAUUAUUCAAUAUUGCCGUUUUUCAAACCUCUUAAUUUCAUCGCAAUAAAAAUAGCAACCAGUUAAAAAAUAUUUUAGAGAAUGAAAUUAUCAUGCCAUCGCCUAUUUAACUUUUUUUUGCAUGCUAAUUUUGAUCCCUAAACUUUGCAAUUUUUUUUUUUCUUUAAUUUUCAAAACAUAUAUAAAUUGGCAACGUUAAAGAAGGCCUCUCCUUAUUUUGGAGGAUUGUAGGACCAACAUAAUUUUUUAAGGAUUAAUUGCACAUUGGUUUCUAAGUUUUUCACCAUUUUUUUAUUUUGGUCCCUAAUUUUUUUUUUUUCAAUUAAACUUUCAAAUUUCUCGAUUUUAUCGCAAUUAAAUGACACUGUUAAAAAGGAUUUUAGAAUUAACGUCAUUAUCAUGCCAUUGACUUUUUAAUUUUCUUUUGCAUAUCAAUUUUGGUUCCUAAAAUUUACAAAUUUUUUAUUUUAGUUCCAAAUAUAAAAAUUCAAAAUUUUACAUUUAAAUCCAAAAUUAAUCUUAAAAUUAAAAUUUUGAUCCAAUUAGUAAUUAGAGUUUUGAAUUAUAAUUUGAAUUCAAAAUUUAAAUUGAAUCUAAAUUUUUCAUUUCAAACUUAAAUUUUUUAAAUUUUGAUUUCAAACUUAAAUUUUGUAAAUUUUGGUUUCAAACUUUAAUUUUUUUAUUUUGAUUUUGAUAUUUGAAUUUACAUUCAAAAUUAAAAUUUUAAUUUAAAGUGAUAUAUCUUUUCGCCGCAUUGCGUGGGGCCCUUAACUAAUAU
rnacentral:lncRNA from 1 species